AUACUUACCUGGCGCGGGGGAUACCGUGAUCAAGAAGGCGGUGCCUCCAGGACGAGGGGCCUGUACAUUGCACUCCGUAUGGGCUGACUCCUGCGACUACCCCAAAAUCGGGUGGCUCGAGCGCAUAAUUUUUGGUAGUGGGGACAAGCGUUCGCGCUGUCCCUU
rnacentral:snRNA from 1 species